rnacentral:rRNA from 1 species
UACGUAGGGGGCGAGCGUUGUCCGGAUUCAUUGGGCGUAAAGAGCUCGUAGGUGGUUCGGUAAGUCGGAUGUGAAAUCUCCAGGCUCAACCUGGAGGGGUCAUUCGAUACUGCCGUGACUAGAGGUCGGUAGGGGAGUGUGGAAUUCCUGGUGGAGCGGUGAAAUGCGCAGAUAUCAGGAGGAACACCGGUGGCGAUGGCGGGUCUCUGGGCAGUAACUGACGCUGAGGAGCGAAAGCGUGGGGAGCGAACAGG